rnacentral:rRNA from 1 species
GACGAACGCUGGCGGCGUGCCUAACACAUGCAAGUCGAGCGAGAGACUUCGGUCUCUAGCGGCGGACGGGUGAGUAACACGUGGGUAACCUGCCUCAAACAGGGGGAUAGCCUCCCGAAAGGGAGAUUAAUACCGCAUAACAUCGCGCUAUCGCAUGAUAGUGUGAUCAAAGGAGUAAUCCGGUUUGAGAUGGGCCUGCGGCGCAUUAGCUAGUUGGUGGGGUAAAGGCCUACCAAGGCGACGAUGCGUAGCCGACCUGAGAGGGUGAUCGGCCACAUUGGAACUGAGACACGGUCCAGACUCCUACGGGAGGCAGCAGUGGGGAAUAUUGCACAAUGGGGGAAACCCUGAUGCAGCAACGCCGCGUGAGUGAUGAAGGUCUUCGGAUUGUAAAGCUCUGUCUUUAGGGACGUUAAUGACGGUACCUAAGGAGGAAGCCACGGCUAACUACGUGCCAGCAGCCGCGGUAAAAC